rnacentral:lncRNA from 12 species
GCCGGGGUGGGGGCGGGGUCCUUCAUUGGCUGGACCCCGCCCCCCAGGCAGGAGAGGUCACGGACUGAUAGAAAAGUCUUUAACCGCCCCCCCCCCGCGCCCCAGGAGGAAGCAAAGGAGCCCCGUUUCUCAACAAGUGUGAGGAUUCCAGAGGCUGAUGUUCAGGUACCAGGCCCUAAUGUUGGUGUGGGAAAGUAGCGCCUUCAAACACAUCCUCCACUUUGAUGAAGACCAGGCCCCGCCCCCCAGAGGCUCCCGGUGGGGGAGAUCACGGGUCCAUCGCCUGCUGAGAUUUUUGUUUUAAAAGUUAGAGAAAUCAAUCAAAAAACAGAUGUAAAAUACAAGCCUAUUUUUUUUUUAUCCGAUUCGGAAAAUCAUAUUCGCAAAGUCACUGUGCCUAACCACUAGGGAUGCUUCCCAAUAUCGUUCUUGGCUGCUCUGUGCCUCUCCUCGUGGAAGGUACCAGACAGUGCUGGGGGCUGGGACCUACCCUGAGUCGCCCUGGAGCAUGGGGUGCACGCCGGAUGUCCGGCCACCGAAGUCAGCUCGCGUGGGAAUUCUGGUUGCCCUACAGACGUUUUUAUCUGUUUGUUCGUUGGGUUGGCAAUCCAGAGAUUUUACAGAAAAUCCAGCUUUUCCUGAAAAGUGGAAAGCUUCUCCCAAGGCAUUUGAGCCCCUGCUCCGUGUCAGGGCCACCCGGAUGGCCCUCGCCGCCUCGCUGGGAGAGACCACUUGGCGCGCCGGAGGGACCCCGGCCUGGGCUGUGGGGUCGGCGUGGAGCGGCCCUCCGGGGCCCCAGACGUUCUCACUUCCCGUCAGUCCAAGGCUGAAGUCUUGAGAUGCACGCGGCUACUUUGACGAAUACGAAGAUUCACUUACUAGCUCGUAAGUGUUCCUGGUGAGUGUUGUACCGGUGUUUUGCCACUUUCUCUUGGUCUCAGCAGAUAGAGAAGUAAAAGUGCGGCUCUCUCUUUUUUAUAUUCAAGAGGGGUUGCUUCCUCCUGGCCAGGUUAGAGGCCUGCGGCCCUGUAAGAGCUCUCCUCCUCAGACUCUGCUUCACCGACGCGCCCCCCAAAAGAAGGUCAAAAUAUGGUGUAUCCCCGGCUCUUUUUUAAAAUGACAGCUACGAGUUUGCAUUCUAAACUGAUGCUGUUGGCAAAGGGUAAUAUCCUGUGUACUGCAAAAAUUGACAUUUUCGAAUAAAGCCAUGACAUCACUUUUUAAAAUGUAUCCA